GACGAACGCUGGCGGCGUACUUAACACAUGCAAGUCGAACGGAAAGGCCCUGCUUUUGUGGGGUGCUCGAGUGGCGAACGGGUGAGUAACACGUGAGUAACCUGCCCUUGACUUUGGGAUAACUUCAGGAAACUGGGGCUAAUACCGGAUAGGAGCUCCUGCUGCAUGGUGGGGGUUGGAAAGUUUCGGCGGUUGGGGAUGGACUCGCGGCUUAUCAGCUUGUUGGUGGGGUAGUGGCUUACCAAGGCUUUGACGGGUAGCCGGCCUGAGAGGGUGACCGGCCACAUUGGGACUGAGAUACGGCCCAGACUCCUACGGGAGGCAGCAGUGGGGAAUAUUGCACAAUGGGCGGAAGCCUGAUGCGGCAACGCCGCGUGCGGGAUGACGGCCUUCGGGUUGUAAACCGCUUUCGCCUGUGACGAAGCGUGAGUGACGGUAAUGGGUAAAGAAGCACCGGCUAACUACGUG
rnacentral:rRNA from 1 species